rnacentral:lncRNA from 1 species
GCCUCAGUUAGUACGCUUAAACAAAAAAUUGAGGCUCCGACGUGCGCCCUCAAACUUCGUCAUUGUAUAUCGGUAAACGGCAAGCAACCAUGUCUGCGUCAUUGACAUAUAAGAAAGGGUGAUUGUGAGGUACAUGAUCCCAAUGUUUUGGCAAGUAAUCCCGUGCCGCAAAAGCAGUUAAACGGGCCCAAAAGUCAGAGAUAACCUCGUAUGUAAUGCGGUUAAGCGAUGGCGUUGAUAUAGGCAUGUUGGUCUGGAGACCUUCCUUAUAGAGUCUCCAUAGAGUCAUAGAGUCUCCAUAGAGUCAUAGAGUCAUAGAGUCAUAGAGUCUCCACGUUGGUUUGGCUUCUUUGGCGAUGAGGCCGUAUGAGACGAUCGCCCAAAGAGGCGCCCAUGCGCCCAUGCAUUGAAGGUCACCCAUGCAACAAGCAUUCACGGUCCCUUACCUUUCGUUUUCCCCGUCAUGACAAACGUCAAGUUACUCUGGAAGCCACUACGCCCCAUUAUCCCCUAGCAACCCCGCUGCGCUGUGCUGUACAGAGCAUUUUCGGCUCCAGCCCGGUCGCAGAGAGAGCGCCACCCGCGUACCUCCAUGCAAGCUCUAUCCUGGCUUGGCAUGCUGCACGUGUUGAGGUAAGAGUUGUUUCUUUUGUAAAAGGCUUAUGAUGCAAGCGGUCGACCCGACGAUCAGCUGGUGGCAGCAGACUUUUUAAUCGCGCGCGCCAAAGUACGUGUUUGAAACGAUUUGCGCUGUCCC